GCUCCGGUAGCUCAACGGGCAGAGCGCCGUCCUUAUGAGGCGGAGGCUGUGAGUUCGAUCCUCACCCGGAGCA
rnacentral:tRNA from 1 species